rnacentral:rRNA from 1 species
UACGUAGGGGGCAAGCGUUGUCCGGAAUUAUUGGGCGUAAAGAGCGCGUAGGCGGUCCGAUAAGUCGGCUGUGAAAGUCAGGGGCUCAACCCUUGAAAGCCGGCCGAUACUGUCGGACUAGAGUCCGGAAGAGGCAAGUGGAAUUCCCGGUGUAGCGGUGAAAUGCGCAGAUAUCGGGAGGAACACCAAUGGCGAAGGCAGCUUGCUGGGACGGUACUGACGCUGAGGAGCGAAAGCGUGGGGAGCGAACAGG